rnacentral:rRNA from 1 species
CGCUAGCUACAGGCUUAACACAUGCAAGUCGAGGGGCAGCAUCAUCAAAGCUUGCUUUGAUGGAUGGCGACCGGCGCACGGGUGAGUAACACGUAUCCAACCUGCCGACAACACUGGGAUAGCCUUUCGAAAGAAAGAUUAAUACCGGAUGGUAUAGUUUUCCCGCAUGGGAUAAUUAUUAGAGAAUUUCGGUUGUCGAUGGGGAUGCGUUCCAUUAGGCAGUUGGCGGGGUAACGGCCCACCAAACCUACGAUGGAUAGGGGUUCUGAGAGGAAGGUCCCCCACAUUGGAACUGAGACGCGGUCCAAACUCCUACGGGAGGCAGCAGUGAGGAAUAUUGGUCAAUGGACGAGAGUCUGAACCAGCCAAGUAGCGUGAAGGAUGACUGCCCUAUGGGUCGUAAACUUCUUUUAUACGGGAAUAAAGUUAGCCACGUGUGGUUUUUUGUAUGUACCGUAUGAAUAAGGAUCGGCUAACUCCGUGCCAGCAGCCGCGGUAAUACGGAGGAUCCGAGCGUUAUCCGGAUUUAUUGGGUUUAAAGGGAGCGUAGGCGGGUUGUUAAGUCAGUUGUGAAAGUUUGCGGCUCAACCGUAAAAUUGCAGUUGAUACUGGCGACCUUGAGUGCAACAGAGGUAGGCGGAAUUCGUGGUGUAGCGGUGAAAUGCUUAGAUAUCACGAAGAACUCCGAUUGCGAAGGCAGCUUACUGGAUUGUAACUGACGCUGAUGCUCGAAAGUGUGGGUAUCAAACAGG